AUUUAAGUAGUUUAAAAUAAAAUAUUGAUUUGUGGUAUCAAUGAUAUACAUAAAGUAUCUUAAAUA
rnacentral:tRNA from 1 species